GAUGAACGCUGGCGGCGUGCCUAAUACAUGCAAGUCGAGCGAACAGACGAGGAGCUUGCUCCUCUGACGUUAGCGGCGGACGGGUGAGUAACACGUGGAUAACCUACCUAUAAGACUGGGAUAACUUCGGGAAACCGGAGCUAAUACCGGAUAAUAUAUUGAACCGCAUGGUUCAAUAGUGAAAGACGGUUUUGCUGUCACUCAUAGAUGGAUCCGCGCCGCAUUAGCUAGUUGGUAAGGUAACGGCUUACCAAGGCAACGAUGCGUAGCCGACCUGAGAGGGUGAUCGGCCACACUGGAACUGAGACACGGUCCAGACUCCUACGGGAGGCAGCAGUAGGGAAUCUUACGCAAUGGGCGAAAGCCUGACGGAGCAACGCCGCGUGAGUGAUGAAGGUCUUCGGAUCGUAAAACUCUGUUAUUAGGGAAGAACAAAUGUGUAAGUAACUAUGCACGUCUUGACGGUACCUAAUCAGAAAGCCACGGCUAACUACGUG
rnacentral:rRNA from 1 species